AUGAAUAUUUUUUGUUGGAACUUUCAUGGUGCGGGUAAAGCUGCGACAGUUCAGGAGCUUCGUAUUUCGCGACAAGUUGCCCCUACCCUCUUGUGUAUUCUCAAAACUCAGCUAGAAAGUACAAGGGUAGAAGCUUUAGCAAGCACGCUUGGUUUUGACAAUGCUUACGCUGUUAGUAGUCAAGGAAGAAGUGGCGGCAUAGGUCUGUUUUGGAACAAUUCAAUCAAAGUUGAAAUUCUUGGUAUUCUGUUUAUCAUCUUGAUGUUUCUAUUGAAGAACAUGACAUAG
rnacentral:rRNA from 1 species